UACGUAGGGGGCGAGCGUUGUCCGAAUUCACUGGGCGUAAAGCGCGCGUAGGCGGGCCUUUAAGUUGGGGGUGAAAUGCCGGAGCUCAACUCCGGAACUGCCUUCAAAACUGGGGGUCUUGAGGUAUGGAGAGGGAAGUGGAAUUCCUGGUGUAGCGGUGAAAUGCGUAGAUAUCAGGAGGAACACCUGUGGCGAAGGCGGCUUCCUGGCCAUAUCCUGACGCUGAGGUGCGAAAGCUAGGGGAG
rnacentral:rRNA from 1 species